rnacentral:rRNA from 1 species
GUUGCAGGGUAUAGACCCGAAACCCGGUGAUCUAGCCAUGGGCAGGUUGAAGGUUGGGUAACACUAACUGGAGGACCGAACCGACUAAUGUUGAAAAAUUAGCGGAUGACCUGUGGCUGGGGGUGAAAGGCCAAUCAAACCGGGAGAUAGCUGGUUCUCCCCGAAAGCUAUUUAGGUAGCGCCUCGUGAAUUCAUCUCCGGGGGUAGAGCACUGUUUCGGCCAGGGGGCCAUCCCGGCUUACCAAUCCGAUGCAAACUGCGAAUACCGGAGAAUGUUAUCACGGGAGACACACGGCGGGUGCUAACGUCCGUCGUGAAGAGGGAAACAACCCAGACCGCCAGCUAAGGUCCCAAAGUCAUGGUUAAGUGGGAAACGAUGUGGGAAGGCCCAGACAGCCAGGAUGUUGGCUUAGAAGCAGCCAUCAUUUAAAGAAAGCGUAAUAGCUCACUGGUCGAGUCGGCCUGCGCGGAAGAUGUAACGGGGCUAAACCAUGCACCGAAGCUGCGGCAGCGAACGUAUCACCCAAGACAACUUUGCACAGUUGACGAUUGACGGAGCGAAGCGACGUCAAAGCGUUUUACAACGUCGAGUUGGCUUAGGGAUACGUUCGUUGGGUAGGGGAGCGUUCUGUAAGCCGUUGAAGGUGGCCUGUGAGGGUUGCUGGAGGUAUCAGAAG